AGCCACACAUGCAGCAGGGCUUUGAACUGUCAAAGACUGUAUGACUGUUAUUAUUGGCAACUCAAGGCAGUUUAUCUGAUUGUAUCACAGCUUUCUUUUCAACCUCAAACAGUGCUCCACCUGGAGAAGUAUUCAAGUCUCCUGAUAAAGAAUGAUUUCGAAGAGGUAAUAGCAUCGGCCAGAAGACCUCUGGGAAUGUAAGCUCCACGAGCGUGGGGAUCAUCUAUGCCUUGGUCACAGCUGCAGCACCCGAGGUUUAGUGCAGAGAAGGCACUAGACAUGUACUUGUUGGCUAAAGGAAUGAAUGAUCAUCAUAACAGCUACAUUUAUUGAGCUCUUCCUCUGUGCCAGGCACAGAGCUGCAACUUUUUAUAAAUACCAUCUCACUGAAUUCUCACAGCGGCUCUCCAAGCUGAAUUAUAACCAUCACUGAAGAUAACUGGAGAGUUUGGUGCAGACAGGGAAGCCUGGCGUGCUGCAGUCCGUGCGGUCGCAGAGUCAGACAUGACUGAGCAACUGAACAACAGCAAGGUAUUCUGUUUGAACCACGGUCCCAUUCAUGUUGUAAUGACAGGUGAUCUCACCUGCCAACAUGCGAACAGACCCACAUACCCUCCAUCCCAGCAGGCCCAAGGUAGGCAAGAUUGAAGGACAGAGUAAGCCAAGGCACCCUGAUUGCUAAAACUCUUCCUCUCUCCACCACUGAGCCUGAAAACUUCAGUCUCUUCUUCCCAGGCAAAUGUCUGAGUUCACUGGCAAGAGGUGAAAGACGUGAAUCACAGGUCGGAGCCAACCCAGAGACAUCUCUUGAAGCCUCGUUGAGGAGGUGAACAUACUGGGUGCCCAGCUGUUUAAUCAGAGUGGCUCUCGAAACUGAAUAUCAGCAUGAAAGCAAAAGAUCAACUCACCAGAACCUUGAGCCUGGGUUGAAAGAAAGGCACCUCCAGCAUGGUAGAACCAGCAUCUGAAGGGGAAUCUAGAGAUGCAAGAUCUGCAUUAACAAGAUGUCCUGGGUACCUCUUCCCACUCUCUUUUUUUUCUGAGCCUAUUUUCUUAUCAGUAACAUAGCAAGUCAAUUUUAUACCUUUUCAUCCAUCUUUUUGUCUGUUUAACAUCUACUAUAUGUAUUGUUAUUAAUAUUCAUAUUUAAGAUCCUUUCUACUAUUAUAAAAAUUGAUUUCUAUUGAAUACUUGGUAUUUACCAGAAUUGUGCCAUA